UGACCUGUUAAUUAGAAGCACCCGUCCGUGUUCCAGAAAGUGGCUUGGGUUGCCACCAGGAGAGGCUUCUAGCUCUAGGACCAGGGAGAUGGAACACGAUGCCAUUAAAGAGAUUCCUGCCCCGGACACACAAAAACUGAGAAGAAUGACA